rnacentral:rRNA from 1 species
UGGGGAAUAUUGGACAAUGGGCGAAAGCCUGAUCCAGCCAUGCCGCGUGUGUGAAGAAGGUCUUCGGAUUGUAAAGCACUUUAAGUUGGGAGGAAGGGCAGUAAGCGAAUACCUUGCUGUUUUGACGUUACCGACAGAAUAAGCACCGGCUAACUCUGUGCCAGCAGCCGCGGUAAUACAGAGGGUGCAAGCGUUAAUCGGAAUUACUGGGCGUAAAGCGCGCGUAGGUGGUUCGUUAAGUUGAAUGUGAAAGCCCCGGGCUCAACCUGGGAACUGCAUCCAAAACUGGCGAGCUAGAGUAGGGCAGAGGGUGGUGGAAUGUCCUGUGUAGCGGUGAAAUGCGUAGAUAUAGGAAGGAACACCAGUGGCGAAGGCGACCACCUGGGCUCAUACUGACACUGAGGUGCGAAAGCGUGGGGAGCAAACAGG